UUAAAAAAAGUGUUGAACCAGGUAAACAGGCAUCGCUGGAAUCCCCAAAUGUCAGUGUGCUUAAACCACGAGCAGGGUUCUUCCUUUCAUCAGCAAGGUCGUCCAUGCUGCCUGGUGAGACAUUGUUCUUGGUCUGAAUUCCUCAAGGAAGCAUUGCUUCACUUCCUUGUGUUUAAGCAGUGCCUCGUUUCCUCGUUUUUGUGGGAAAUCUGGAAGCGUGAAUCAGCCUUACCUAUGCUACCUUGACCCAGUCUACCUGACUCGACUCCCUCUUUUCCCGGGGUGGUGUGGAGUCAGUGCCCGCCUGAGCUCACCGUGGCCUGUGCGUCUGAGCUCCUAUGAGCCCCGUGAGCUGGUGGAGCUCCUGUGUGGCUGCCAGGGCUGAGCCGUGGGUCGGGUUAGCUACUUCUGUGUUUGAAGUUCCAAAGGCAUUUAGAUUGAGAAGUUUGUCAUUUUUUUUAAAAGCACCGGGUCCUCCUGCAAUGGGGGCAGGGCCUGGAAUGGGGCAGGGUUGCUAUUCCUAGAAAAUGGUGAUGACCUUUUGGAGGCAUAGGGGUGGAAAAUUUCCUCCCUUUUCCCUGCUAGGUUCUUGGGCUGUUGUAAUAGUGAAGCUGGUGGAAGACAGAUUAAUAGGAGAAUAAUAAACGUAAUUUUAUGUGGGGGAGGCCCAGAAAAAUAUGAGGCUCCAAGAAGUGAGUAGAGGGAGAAGCUUUUGUAUCUUUUAGACAAAGAAACAAUGUGUUUGUGGAAAAGUGACAAAACCGAGGAGGGGCGUGAGUCGGGGGCAGUAAAUCAGGGAAGAAGUAACAAGGUUUGUUUACAUAGGCUUGUCUGCCCCCCACUCCCUGUCUGUGGUGGAAGAAUGCCUUCUACCGCCUGGCACAGGGAGAGUUCCUAUCUCACGGGAGGCUUAUCUCACAGGGUAGGGUCAGGGCGUCCUUGCCCUGGCUGUUUCUCAGUACCUUUAAUUCAAAAUAACCAACGUGCCAAAGAGACAUAUUUUGGGGUAUCAUAUUCUGCUCCCCGUCAGAGGAAGCCAGGCCCUUUUGGAGGAAAGCACACAGCACGGAGAACGGAGAGAAUCCCAGUGGGCAGUUUGAUCCACUGAGACAAGGCUAUACCCGGGUCGUAGCCUUGAACUGGGAUGAGCUUCCUGUCUAGCUGCGGCCUGCGGGGCACUCUUCUUAUGUCACCCGUGGGCCAGCUCAUCCUCUGCCCUGCAGGGUUCCCCCUACCCUGAGGCUCAAAAUUUGGUGACUUCCAGGGCUCACUCAAGUCUGAACUCCUUGGCCAGGUACUGAGGUUCUGUCUAAUAUGCCUUCUCUUCUCCUCUCGGUGCCUGGCCCUUGUCACACCUCUUGUCACUUUUUGUUUUUCAGGGCAGUGUCACCUUUCACAAAGCUCAGGGCCCGGUCCUGUGGAGGACGUCCACAUGCGAGACAUGGGCACUGCCAACGGGGGCAGAGCAGAGUGCAUGCCAGGCCGGCCCGAGUGAGAGGGUUGGCGGAGAUGCAGGCAGGCGCUCCAAGAGCGUUCCCAGCCCCUAAGUCCUUCCGGGGGAGAGGUGGGAGGUCAGUGUGGGGCCAUGUCUAGACCGAGGAAAAGAACUUCUAGCAGGCAGAUGGAGGGGUGCCAGGAGGGAGAGAUAGGCAUUCCCGGUCAAGGAAGCAGCUUCUUUUUAAGAAUAGUGAUGAGCGAAAGGGCUUUACUUUAAACAUCAAAAUAAUGAUGAUGGUGAUGAUGAUGAUGAUGAAAUAAUAGUAGUAGUAGUUGACCUUGUGCCAGGCUCUAUGUUGAGUGUGGCUCAUAUAUUAUCUUAAUUAAUUCUGUCAGAAAUAUUAUGACUAAUCCCCUGCCCUAGAAUGUAAACUUCACAAGUGUUUUGGGUUGGUCUCGCUCACUCGCAUGUUCUGAGCACCCAGCAGAGCACUCGGCCCUCGGCACUUGUCUAUUGACUGGAGAAACGGGAGUCCAGUCACGUAGGGGACACCGUCUGUUUUCCAGUAAGGAAACCGAGGCCUAGAGUUGAGUGAAUUGGGUACCUGACCCCAGGCCUGGAAGAGGUGAAGUGAGGCUUGAUCCCAGGCUUCUAGAUUUUUCUCUUCUAUCGGGGGACACAUUCAUAUCCAUCUGUCCUCCUCCUGGCACCAGCCCCAGCCCCACUGCAUUGCCAUGCAGAGGCACGUGAGAGGGAGGCAGCCAGGUGCAUUGGUGUCGCAGGUGGUGACCACACUGUGGGGCACGCAGGGUUGGAGAACGCUGGGAAGGUAAGUGGCGGGUGUGUGUGCGUAAGUAGGACUUAGAAUGGGAAUCUGAGCUAUUGGGCUUUAUUCUACAGGGAGUUUGGAGCCAUGAAAAGUGGGGUGUGUGCGUGUGUGUGUGUGCGUGUGUGUGCGCGCAUGCGUGCGUAUUUAAUAGUUUUGAGCUUUAUUUAGAAGGCUGGGAGUGUAGAUGAAUAGAUCUUUCCAUCUGGCCACUUUUUUCAAGGCCAAGUUCAAGGCCCUGUGUUUCGGGAAACUUGUUAGCUAGUGUUAGAACUGGGGCUAGAACUCAGAUUCUUCCAGCACUACUGAGGGGCUGCCCUUCAGGGGUCCCUGUCUGGGGGAGACUUUUUUUUAUGGGGAUUUCCAGGGCACCUCUGAACCCCUCCCCUGUCCUCCCCAUGUCACAGUGGAUGGUGUUUUAGCCUCUUUGCUGGGCUUGUCUUGCCGUCUAUUCAGGGAGGGAGAAGUAGCUUAUUCUGGUCGGGAGGGUGGAAGGUGGAAUGGAGGCCAAUCAGCAUUUAAAAUAUCGCAGAGGGGGUUGGGAAGGGAUCUGGAGGAGAGGAUAAUGGGGCUGCUGCUGUUCAAUUCAAGUUUCCCGGUGAAUGGGAAAGCACCUUUGUUCCAGGGCUGCCUCGGGAGGGCUUUGUGCCCUCUGGGGCUGCUCCAGACUUUGCAAACCUUGUAAUUGUCUAUAGCUCCCAGGUGCUUUGGGGGCGAGUGGAGAAUAUGACAGGAAUGCGGUGCUUGCUGGGCAGCCUGGAUUUAGCACAGAUGCUGAGUCAAGAUUUAUGAGCAACCUGUGCUGGCUGAUCCUUAACUUCCUCAUCUGUCUUGAGUCACAGUGGAAUGCUAACUUUUGGGGCUUUCUCUGGGUUUGCUGUUGCAGGGAUUUGAUUUUAAUUUGAAAGGCCAUCCUUCCCAUUUUCUCCAGUCGCCCUCACCCUUUGUGCAACUCAUCCCUCCUAGGGCUUGUGAACACUGAUUUGGGGACGGACUUGGAUUUGUGCCUUGCUUGGAGAUGUCCCUUCACCUCGAUUAAACCUGUUUUCUGACCUGGGAAAUUCUGGUAACAAUUAUACAUCUCUCACUGGCAUUUUAGGGACAUU